rnacentral:sRNA from 1 species
GCUGGGUAUGGUGGUGUACGCCUGUAAUCCCAGCAGCUCAGAAAGCUGAGGCAGGAGGAUCAUGAGUUCAAAGCCAGCCUCAGCAAAAGUAACGUACUUAGAAACUCAGUGAGACCCUGUCUCUA